rnacentral:rRNA from 1 species
AAAUGAAUAGACGGGGGCCCGCACAAGCGGAGGAGCAUGUGGUUUAAUUCGAUGAUACGCGAGGAACCUUACCUAGACUUGAACGUAUAAGUGAUUAUUUAGAAAUAGAUAAGCUAGCAAUAGACUUUUACGAGGUGCUGCAUGGUUGUCGUCAGCUCGUGCCGUGAGGUGUCAGGUUAAGUCCUAUAACGAGCGCAACCCCUACACUUAGUUGCCAGCAUGUCAUGAUGGGGACUCUAAGUGGACUGCCAGCGCAAGCUGUGAGGAAGGUGGGGAUGACGUCAAAUCAGCACGGCCCUUACGUCUAGGGCGACACACGUGCUACAAUGGCCGAUACAGAGGGCAGCUACAUAGCGAUAUGAUGCAAAUCUCAAAAGUCGGUCUCAGUUCGGAUCGGAGUCUGCAACUCGACUCCGUGAAGUUGGAUUCGCUAGUAAUCGCAGAUCAGCCAUGCUGCGGUGAAUACGUUCCCGGGCCUUGUACACACCGCCCGU